ensembl:lncRNA
GUUGGAUCCCCUCACUUCAGUUUGACCACACUUCAGCCAGCAUUUAACCUUCUCUCUCAGUGUCACUCAUCCAGGGACAAGAAUAUCAGGGGUGCUCAGAUUUGAUCUGUUGCUACUGGCAUUCACAGCUUACAUAAAAUUAUGUACCAGGGCCAGACUGGAAUGGGAUGGACUGAUUCUCUUACAUCAAAAUUAAAGUGUGCUAAGGGAUGUGCCAGCUACAGCAACAUGGUCUGCAUUAGGAUCUGAAUCCCUUCCUCAGGCUUCCAGUGGGCCCAUCCUUCUCCCUGUCUCCAAGGUUGCUUUAUAACAGUAAACAAUAUUCAACCAAUAACAAAGUUCUAAUGGGCUUCUUUGAAGAGCUGACUAGAGGACAGCUUUGCUAUUGAAGAUCCCCAGUGAUAGCUUGUGGGAUAUGUAAGAGGCCGGCCUGCUUGAUCUUGC